GAUAAGGGGUGCCACCAUUAGGUGGCCGCAGAGAAUAGGCCCAAGCGACUGUUUACCAAAACCAUAGGUUUCUGCUAAGUCGCAAGACGAUGUAUAGGAGCUGACGCCUGCCCGGUGCUGGAAGGUUAAGGGGAUCUGUUAGAGUAAUCGAAGCAGUGAACUUAAGCACCAGUAAACGGCGGCCGUAACUAUAACGGUCCUAAGGUAGCGAAAUUCCUUGUCGGGUAAGUUCCGACCCGCCCGAAAGGCGUAACGAUUUGGGCACUGUCUCAACAACAGACUCGGUGAACUUGUAAUUCCGGUGAAGAUGCCGGAUACCUGCGACAGGACGGAAAGACCACAUGGAGCUUUACUGUAGCUUGACAUUGGGUCUUGGUACUACAUGUCCAGGAUAGGUGGGAGGCUUUGAAACCAGGCCGCCAGUUUUGGCGGUGCCAUCCUUGG
rnacentral:rRNA from 1 species